rnacentral:lncRNA from 1 species
UACCUUUGGGACAUGCUCAAUUUGUUAAAUACUAAUCACACUACUUCAUCUCCACUUGAGUAGAUCUCUAUAGAUGCUCUCAUGCUACCUUUAUUUGCUUUAGUAUAUGUCUAGGUUUGGAGUAGUUUCAUUCAUCUCUUAAUUAAGCAUGGUGCUUAGUUUAGGAAUGAUGAUCUUACUUCCAAGGGAUUUUAAAUUAAGCAUGGUGCUUAGGUUGAAAUGCCCUCCUAAAUCAAAUUAGACCUGGUGUCUAGGUUGAUUUUUGAGCCGAUAGUAUGCUAUAGUAGAUAUUGGAUAUUUUGUUGGACUAACCCCUACAGGAAAACUUUCAAUAUCAACCUGGGAAGUCCUAAGAAAAACUCACAUUGGAUACAAAGAGAGAGACAUAUGAAGUUUAACAAUUUAAACAAGGAAGACAUAACUCAUAAGAGAUGAUCCAUGGAGGGUGCCACAAACACGUUACACAACCGCUAAGAAUGGAAAGCUUCCACAAGGUGAUACUGUACCAUAACUCUUCAAGUAAGGUAACAUCUUAAGGUACUUGACUAUCACUUUUAUAAGCUUCUCCUUGGAUCUGGCGUUUACAUGAAUAAAAGUGACAAACAUGUAUGAUUUACAACUCUAGAUUAACCAACCCAAUCGAUUCAAUAUGUUUAGUCCUUCCACCUUUGUGAUCCCACACUCCUAAUUAUAUGAGCUAAAAUGUUGCACACUCAAUCUUUGAAAGAUAUAUAUAAAAAACAACAUAAGUAUAGAUAGAUUAUCUUUCCAUUAGGUUGAGCAAUCUGAUCUGACAAAUGUUUUAAAUGUUACACUCAUGAUCUUAUUAUCCAUCAUCUUUGUCUUGCUCACUAUGCUUAAGGUUAGAGAAGAACAAAUACACUUUUGGUUUUGUUGGUCCUUUCCACCAACAGGGCCCAUGCACUUGAUCUCUGCCUUGUCUCUAUGAGCAGGUACACUCCGAGCAAAAUAUGGAGGAGUUUUACAACUCCCAGACUCCACCAAGUGAAGGACCUGGAUCUACGAGCACAAACAUAUUGAGCAGGAUGCUGCCAACGCCGCACUUCGAACUGCUGGGCAAACGAAGAACAUGGGUGACACCGUAUCAAGAGGUGCAGAUGUCAAGGUCCACACCUGAAUCAAAUGACGCACCUAAAGAAUGAACACGGUGAGAAGUUUUGUUCAGAAGACUUAAAACAUUGAACCCUCGCCGAAAGGUAAAAUCGGUAGUUAUCCAUAUUUAUCCUUUCUACAUUCCCUUUUCCUUUAAAUUAUUUACUUUCUUGUUAGUUGAUCAUGCUAUCUUGAAAAGAAAAUAAAACUGUUAAAAAAAGGUAAGCCCCAUGUGAGUAUGCUCAUGGCAUAAAACCCAUAAGUACAUUCACUAUGGUGGCGUAAAAAUAAAAUAAAUAUAUUCCUAUCCUAUAAAAAUGAAAAUAUAAAAAUAAAUUUAUGAUCCUACCAAAGAGAGUAAUAUUUAUUAGAGAAAGCUCAACAUGAUAACGGCUAAGAGAUUUUAUGCUAACACUUAACCAGUUCCACAAAGCUUUGUUGUCAAUUUAAGCUCCACAGAAUUCAAGGAUCAAAGAAGACUAGCAGACAGAGGACAUCCUAAUCGUUGUUAGGGUGCUGCCAACAUUCAAAUACACCUCCGCCACCUGCUAAUUACAUCAGAAGAAAUUACGUCAAAAUCCAACUUGGGGGAGAGCACCCUCAUUUAUCCAGCUAAGUGUUCUACUCACGUUUAUACUUUACUCAAAUAAUAAAAAGAUGCAUAAUCAUAAAAACCCAAUUAAAGAUUUUGUGUUUAUAUAUAUAUCUUUGCUUAGUUUGCUAAAUAAAUAAAUAAAUAAAGUUUGCUAUGAACCCUCAUGAUAAGCUCUCACAUGGAAAGAAGAAUAGUUGCUCUGCCAUGACUAGUACUCAAAAUUGAAAUCUCUCUCAAGUUUAGGCAUCACUGUUAUUAAUUAAGAUUUGCUCUAAACCUGAACUUUUGGAAAGAGUACUUGAUCUAAAUUCUAAGUCGUUAACUGAUACGAUAUAGGAAGGUUGAGCUGUUGUUUAUCUGUUCCUAGAGAUAAUAGAAUUCUGGAGAAUUUUAUCUUUGAAAAUCUUUAAAAUGUUGCAUGAUGAGUUCCUAUAUGAUGAGAGUUUAAAAUCGAACCACAGCCAUAUAUACAUACUUAUUAGACUAUGAAACAUACAUUUACUUUUUACUGAGUGUGGUCAAGUUGUGUAGACCCUUAGGAGCUUGUCAUGCGGUUAAAAUCAAGAUUCACUUGCACGUUCACUCAUACAUGCUGCUUCUACUUCGGAAGUACGCAUCCACAUACAUCCACUCAUUUCCAUAUCCAGAUUCACCCAAAAUUAUUCUACUCCUAUCUAGGAGAGAAUAGCCAAAAACAUUAUCCUAUCCCUAUUAUUCCCCGUGAAAUAAAUGCUCGAGAUAUUUUGGUUACUACCACUUGCUACAUUAUUCUAGGAGGGUGAGUGCUCUGAAAAAAAGUGAGUGAAUACGAGGAAAUAAAAAGGGGCAAGUGCCCAAAACCUUGAAAAAAAAGAAGAAGAAAAAGUGAGACGAGAGGUAAAAAUGGACAAGUGUCCGACAGUAGAAUUAGAGGUACAAGAUACCCACCUAAGAGAAAAGAAAAAAAAUACAAUAUAGAGCAUCUCAUUCCCCUCAAAAGCCUCAAAUGCAAGGAAGGUAUGUACCCCCUCAAAAGAGCAAAAGUAGAAUUAGACUUUCACCAUUAUUUUCACCAUUAUCACCAUUCAUUCGCCACACAUGCACAUCUUGAUUUUACUUAUUGACUUGUUCUUCUGGAUCCAUGGUUUGACUUUGCAAUAAAUAUCUUGUAAGUAUGUAUUAGCUGUCUCCCACCUAUGAGCUCCAGAUAUCAAAACCUUAUUAGAGUAGGGUGAGAGAGAAGCCAAUGCCACUAUGCCUCAUACCAAAAAUACCACAUACUUUGAGAGAAGGCAUACACCAUUACUGCCUUGGUAAGGAUCCAGAAAUACCACAAAAGAGAGACUAGAGAGAGUCAUAUAAGGAAUCUCUAAGUUUUAUUUGAAAAUCUGCAAAAACUCCAGAGCUAUAGUUAAUCGAAGAACAAGAGACAUGGUGCUUGACUAGACCGUUCUAUCUUUUAACUGCUCAAGACACAAGUGAUGGUUGCAAGCCCCAUGGUGGAAGGUAAAAUGAGUAAGUUUAAAUCUUAAUAGUUUACCCUAACCCAGAGAUGAGAUCUUGUUUGAACGCAUGAGUACCUUUAAGGCAUAAAACCACUGCAUAAAGCCACGAGAAUGAACGGGAGACCGAGCGGGCCCGAGGGCUGGGCGCUCGCCCUCCCCCCUUGGGCGCUCGCCCUGCCCUGGUGACCAAUCUGGGCAGGUCUCGCGGAUCGUGCUCCACCAUCUCUAGUCUUCCAAUGGACCAUAUUAAUUUGGAGGGGCCAUAUAAGCAGGCCCCCUGGCCCCUGGAGGCAUACCUAUUCUAUAGAAUCAAAGCUAGGGUUUCAAUUAUUCAUCCAAGUAGAGAGGGUCCCUCUAGUUCAUCUAGUUCUAGUCCUAGUUCAUCUAGUUCUAGUUCUAGUUAGUUCUAGUUGUAAUCUAGAAAAUAGGGAGAGAGAAGAGGACAGCGGAGGAGGAGCCGGAUCAGUCGGAUCUUCCUCAACAUUCUACUUUUGCAGCAACUGGUUCGUUCUUCAUCUUUCUCCAAGUUCUUCAAUUCAUGAUUCCUGAGUUCUUUAAUUACUUUUAUUUACAUUCAAGUUAUUUAUUGGAUUUCCGCUUGCAUCAAGUGCUCUAGUCUUUGAAAUGCUAGAGUAGUAACUAAUAGAUUAGACAUGGUGUUUAGUCUUGCAAUUACCUGGAAUUGCACCCAAUCCGGCGGAUUGUUAUGGUAUCCCUAGGGUAGUGACAGCCCUAGCGGUCGACGUAUUCCACCUCGUUUGGAUCGGUGUUUGUAGGACCGUAGUCAGAGCUUCCUAGCCCCCUUCUCAUCUCUUUCUGUGGUUAGUGUUCUGAUGUCCCGAAAUAAAUAAUCUUUGAAGUAGUUAUUUAUUCUUAGAUCAAUUAGUGAACUCUCAGGAAACUUCAUCUCUUCCC